GGCGCGGAAGCGAGCGUGGGUCACGGGCGCAGCUGAGCGGUCACCAGCGUCUGAGUUGUGGUCGCAUAUUCAAAUUUGAUGUCGUUUUAGCGCUUUGCUUCUGAAUAUCAGCACAGGGACUGACAUUCAGGGUUUCAGGGAUUCAGAGAGCCGAUACUUUAGCCAGGACGGCAGUGAGUGCAUGACGGUGGCCUCAGCUGAUGGACGACGGUGGCCGCCGAGCGAUCGGCAGCAGGUAACAAGAGCAAAGGCUGCUGCUCAUUGUUGGGUUCCAGGACUAGGAAGGAACACUG